UGGGCCUCAUGGCGAUCAGCUGAGCGCGAACAGCGAGCAAACACGACUGUUCAAACCACCUGUUAAAUGUUCCUCUGUUUACCUGCGUGGAUUGAUUAGGCUUUGGGCAGGUGGUGGUGGGGAUGAGGCAGCCCAUGGCUUUGGAAGACAUCCGGCAUGCCUGCUUCCUGCUGGACUCUGACAAAAUCACAGACAGAAAGAAAGGGUGUGAGCAGCUGCGGAAUCUCCUGAACAACUCACAGAUUGUGGCCUUACUCA